rfam:Colletotrichum chlorophyti strain NTL11 CCHL11_scaffold162, whole genome shotgun sequence.
ACAUACGACCAUACCCACUGGAGAACUCGGGAUCCCGUCCGCUCUCCCAUAGAUAAGCCAGCGAGGGCCGGAUUAGUAGUUGGGUCGGUGACGACCAGCGAAUACCUGGUGUUGUAUGUU